rnacentral:sRNA from 1 species
GGCUGCGCUUCAAGUACUACAGCUUCUUCGAUUUGGAUCCCAAGACAGACCCCGUGCGGCUGACACAGCUGUAUGAGCAGGCCCGAUGGGACCUGCUGCUGGAGGAGAUUGACUGCACCGAGGAGGAGAUGAUGGUGUUUGCCGCCCUGCAGUACCACAUCAACAAGCUGUCCCAGAGCGGGGAGGUGGGGGAGCCGGCUGGCACAGACCCAGGGCUGGACGACCUGGAUGCGGCCCUGAGCAACCUGGAGGUGAAGCUGGAGGGGUCGGCGCCCACGGAUGUGUUGGACAGCCUCACCACCAUCCCAGAGCUCAAGGACCAUCUCCGAAUCUUCCGGUGAGUUGGGGGCCAGAGUAGGCAGCCCUGCUGGAGGGGUUGGUCUGCAUAUGGAGGGAGGGGGCGAGGUGGCCUUUCACAAACCCCCGCAUCCCACGAAGGCCCCGGAAGCUGACCCUGAAGGGCUACCGCCAGCACUGGGUGGUGUUCAAGGAGACCACACUGUCCUACUACAAGAGUCAGGACGAGGCUCCUGGGGACCCCAUUCAGCAGCUCAACCUCAAGGG